AUGUAUGUAUAUAACUUACUAAUGAAACUUGUAUUAUGAAUUUAACCACUCUGGUUCGUAUUGAAUAUAAGCUAUUAAAAAACUUGAAACCCAAAUUUUAUGGGUGUUUUUUUUCUUACCCAAGUUUUUAGAAUUGCAAAUUAAAUUAUUUUUAACCAUUCCUACUACCAUCAGUUUUAUGGUUAACAUUCUUAGGCACAAGUGACUAAAUGCAACUUUUAUAUUCAGAGAAUCUUUACAUGUUUAUUAAAAACUAAAUUUGAAGAUACAUUCUAAUCUUGCAUAAAAUGUUAAUGCUGGGCUUUUACAUUACCUAACUUGAGAACUUGUUUUUACAAAUUGUGUGUCAUGUCAUGUUUAAGGCUAUCUUGCCUGACCACCUGAUCCUACCUGCAAUGAUAAAACCGUAUUUCCUAAACAAAUUUGAUUAAGAAACCCUCACCUGUCCAGUCCCCUGAGCUUUUAAUUUUACUGAUUUUAAGGACUUAAGAAUUACCUGGCUACUUUGUCAUCUAGGUAUCAAAACACAAAACUCUAAAAAUGGAAAGUAAUAUGGACUAGAUGGAGCCCAUGAGGUAAAUAUGAAUGUUCAAUUUGGAGGUUUAGUUCUACAAGACUGCACCUAAACCUGUGAUAGGUAUAUUCCUAAGAAUACCUUUGUAAAUUCUGAAUAUAAUUCUUGGUUGGGUUUGCUGUAGUCAACAAUAGACAAUUUAAGUUAGCAUAGACCUUGAGGCCUUGCUGAGUAAUUAGGCUCUGCAAAAGAGGUUAGAAAUGUGAUGAUUCUUUAGAUAACUUAUUUAUUGGUAGCUACUAUUUUCUGACAGUGGGUAAAUGUAAAACUUUGAGUCUUUGAAGAAUAAUUUUUUAGAACACAAACAUUAAGUAAAACUUAAGAAUGAUGAAAGUAUAUAUAUUUUAGAAAUUUCAUUAAGCACUAGAUAAGAUCAAAAAACAAGGAAGUAAGCAUGCAUUUCCCAAGUAUAAUAUUAAAAGGAUUUAUUUACUAUUGUACUUUGAUUUAAAAGUUUGCAAGGAACAAGUUUAAAUUCACUAGGUUCAAAUAUGCUCCCUUAUGAUUUAAAAUUUGCUGUGUGAAAUAAGUUUUUUACAAGACCUAAAAUAAAUGUACGCCCAAUAAAGAAUCAACACUGCUUCACAUGUUUUAUUUUGUCAUACAUUCUUUUAGAACUGGGUUCAUUUUUCCAGUUUUGUAGAAAAAUAGAUGUUCCGGCCACCAUUUACUUACUGUCUAGUCUUUAAGACCAAUCA